AGCACCUUUAACUUAGUCCUGUGAGGCUAACAAGGGGAACGGUCAUGUAGGGUCUCCCACGCUUUUCGCAGGAAAACAGGGUGACUCUUUUUU
rfam:Lactobacillus plantarum WCFS1 complete genome